AGUGAACGCUGGCGGCGUGCCUAAUACAUGCAAGUCGAACGAAGUGGCGCACGGGUGAGUAAUAUAUAGUUAAUCUGCCCUACACAGAGGAACAACAGAUGGAAACGAAUGCUAAUACCUCAUAGUGUAGGAUGAGACUAUAUCGUAUCAGCUAGUUGGUAAGGUAAUGGCUUACCAAGGCUAUGACGCGUAACUGGUCUGAGAGGAUGAUCAGUCACAUUGGAAAUGAGACACGGUCCAAACUCCUACGGGAGGGAGCAGUAAGGAAUAUUGCGCAAUGGGGGAAACCCUGAUGCAUCAACGCCGCGUGCGGGAUGACGGCCUUCGGGUUGUAAACCUCUUUCGCUAUCGAACUUUUUUUGGUGGGUUGAGGGUAGGUGGAGAAGAAGCGCCGGCUAACUACGUGCCAGCAGCCGCGGUAAUAC
rnacentral:rRNA from 1 species